GUGUCAGCCGCCGCGGUAAUACGUAGGUGGCAAGCGUUGUCCGGAUUUACUGGGCGUAAAGGGUGCGUAGGCGGACAUUUAAGUGAGAUGUGAAAGCCCCGGGCUUAACUUGGGCAGUGCAUUUCAAACUGGAUGUCUGGAGUGCAGGAGAGGAGAACGGAAUUCCUAGUGUAGCGGUGAAAUGCGUAGAGAGUAGGAAGAACACCAGUGGCGAAGGCGGUUUUCUGGACUGUAACUGACGCUGAGGCAUGAAAGCGUGGGGAGCAAACAGGAGUAGAUACCCUGGUAGUCCACGCCGUAAACGAUGAGUACUAGGUGUAGGAGGUAUCGACCCCUUCUGUGCCGCAGUAAACACAAUAAGUACUCCGCCUGGGAAGUACGAUCGCAAGAUUAAAACUUAAAGGAAUUGACGG
rnacentral:rRNA from 1 species